GAUGAACGCUGGCGGCGUGCCUAAUACAUGCAAGUCGAGCGAACAGAUAAGGAGCUUGCUCCUUUGACGUUAGCGGCGGACGGGUGAGUAAAACGUGGGUAACCUACCUAUAAGACUGGAAUAACUCCGGGAAACCGGGGCUAAUGCAGGAUAACAUGUUGAACCGCAUGGUUCUACAGUGAAAGGCGGCUUUGCUGUCACUUAUAGAUGGACCCGCGCCGUAUUAGCUAGUUGGUGAGGUAACGGCUCACCAAGGCAACGAUACGUAGCCGACCUGAGAGGGUGAUCGGCCACACUGGAACUGAGACACGGUCCAGACUCCUACGGGAGGCAGCAGUAGGGAAUCUUCCGCAAUGGGCGAAAGCCUGACGGAGCAACGCCGCGUGAGUGAUGAAGGUCUUCGGAUCGUAAAACUCUGUUAUUAGGGAAGAACAAAUGCGUAAGUAACUGUGCGCGUCUUGACGGUACCUAAUCAGAAAGCCACGGCUAACUACGUG
rnacentral:rRNA from 1 species